rnacentral:rRNA from 1 species
ACGCUGGCGGCGUGCCUAAUACAUGCAAGUCGAGCGAAGUUUUUCUGGUGCUUGCACCGGGAAAACUUAGCGGCGAACGGGUGAGUAACACGUAAAGAACCUGCCUCAUAGACUGGGACAACUAUUGGAAACGAUAGCUAAUACCGGAUAACAGCAUUAACUGCAUGGUUGAUGUUUAAAAGUUGGUUUUGCUAACACUAUGAGAUGGCUUUGCGGUGCAUUAGCUAGUUGGUGGGGUAAAGGCCUACCAAGGCGACGAUGCAUAGCCGACCUGAGAGGGUGAUCGGCCACACUGGGACUGAGACACGGCCCAGACUCCUACGGGAGGCAGCAGUAGGGAAUCUUCCGCAAUGGGCGAAAGCCUGACGGAGCAACGCCGCGUGAGUGAAGAAGGAUUUCGGUUCGUAAAGCUCUGUUGUUAGGGAAGAAUGAUUGUGUAGUAACUAUACACAGUAGAGACGGUACCUAACCAGAAAGCCACGGCUAACUACGUGCCAGCAGCCGCGGUAAUACGUAGGUGGCAAGCGUUGUCCGGAAUUAUUGGGCGUAAAGCGCGCGCAGGUGGUUUAAUAAGUCUGAUGUGAAAGCCCACGGCUCAACCGUGGAGGGUCAUUGGAAACUGUUAAACUUGAGUGCAGGAGAGAAAAGUGGAAUUCCUAGUGUAGCGGUGAAAUGCGUAGAGAUUAGGAGGAACACCAGUGGCGAAGGCGGCUUUUUGGCCUGUAACUGACACUGAGGCGCGAAAGCGUGGGGAGCAAACAGGAUUAGAUACCCUGGUAGUCCACGCCGUAAACGACGAGUGCUAAGUGUUGGUCUCAUAAGAGAUCAGUGCUGCAGCUAACGCAUUAAGCACUCCGCCUGGGGAGUACGACCGCAAGGUUGAAACUCAAAGGAAUUGACGGGGACCCGC